rnacentral:rRNA from 1 species
UGGUGGAGUGAUUUGUCUGGUUAAUUCCGUUAACGAACGAGAUCGCUGCCUGUUAAAUAGUCCGGUGAGUGAAUUUCACUGACUAGGACUUCUUAGAGGGACAUGUGUUCUAUAAAACACAGGAAGAUAGCGACAAGAACA